rnacentral:rRNA from 1 species
UACGAAGGUGGCAAGCGUUGUUCGGAUUUACUGGGCGUACAGGGAGCGUAGGCGGUUGGAUAAGCCCUCCGUGAAAUCUCCAGGCUUAACCUGGAAAGUGCAGAGGGGACUGUUCAGCUAGAGGAUGGGAGAGGAGCGCGGAAUUCCCGGUGUAGCGGUGAAAUGCGUAGAGAUCGGGAGGAAGGCCGGUGGCGAAGGCGGCGCUCUGGAACAUUUCUGACGCUGAGGCGCGACAGCGUGGGGAGCAAACAGG